rnacentral:rRNA from 1 species
UUAGUCAAUGCUCGCAAGAGUGAACUAGCUAACUGAAWUCAUACUUGUGUCAAGUGUGAUAACGUAAGGGAAGAUAAUGACAUUACCUUACUAUUAGUGUUGUCCAAAACUGGUGCCAGAAGACUCGGUAAGGCCAGAGACGCAAACGUUAAUCGUCCUAAUCAGGCGUAAAGGGUGUGUAGGCAGCUUUAAAAUUUUUCUUUAUUAAUUAAAUUUAAUUAAUGUAGACUAAUUAAUAAUAAAUUGAUAAUUAUAAAUUAUUUAAUUAUUAAAAAUUAAUUAAAGUAAAGAUAAAAUAAAUAAAAGCUAGAAUCAAAUAGAGGAUAUUUAAAUAAUACUUAGAGGAGGGGUGAUAUCCUUAGAUACUAAGUAGAAUAUUAAUGGUGAAAGCUUUUAUCUAUUAAUGAUUGACGCUGAGAAACGAAGGUGAGGAUAGGAAAUAGGAUUAGAUACCCAGAUACCCCUCUCUGUCAACGAUGAAUGGUGGUUGCUAAUUAUAUAAAUUAAUUGGUGGCGAUGUUAACACGAUAACCAUUCCGCCAUGUGAGUACGACUGCAAAGUUGAAAACAAAAAAAUUAGUCGGUCUCGAAGCAAACGAAGUGAAGCAUGUUAUUUAAU